ACGCUCCACGCGGCAGCAUUUAUAUGAAAACUGAAAAGACACAGCAAAGAUUAGCAGGCCCCUCCAUGAGGAACACAGGCAAAUUUAGGAAGUGUUUCAGAUCUGU
ensembl:snRNA U6 U6 spliceosomal RNA